UACGUAGGGUCCGAGCGUUGUCCGGAAUUAUUGGGCGUAAAGAGCUCGUAGGUGGUUUGUCGCGUUGUUCGUGAAAACUCACAGCUCAACUGUGGGCGUGCGGGCGAUACGGGCAGACUUGAGUACUGCAGGGGAGACUGGAAUUCCUGGUGUAGCGGUGGAAUGCGCAGAUAUCAGGAGGAACACCGGUGGCGAAGGCGGGUCUCUGGGCAGUAACUGACGCUGAGGAGCGAAAGCGUGGGGAGCGAACAGG
rnacentral:rRNA from 1 species